UGGGGAAUUUUGGACAAUGGGGGAAACCCUGAUCCAGCCAUCCCGCGUGUGCGAUGAAGGCCUUCGGGUUGUAAAGCACUUUUGGCAGGAAAGAAACGUCAUGGGUUAAUACCCCGUGAAACUGACGGUACCUGCAGAAUAAGCACCGGCUAACUACGUGCCAGCAGCCGCGGUAAUACGUAGGGUGCAAGCGUUAAUCGGAAUUACUGGGCGUAAAGCGUGCGCAGGCGGUUCGGAAAGGAAGAUGUGAAAUCCCAGAGCUCAACUUUGGAACUGCAUUUUUAACUACCGGGCUAGGGUGUGUCAGAGGGAGGUGGAAUUCCGCGUGUAGCAGUGAAAUGCGUAGAUAUGCGGGGGAACACCGAUGGCGAAGGCAGCCUCCUGGGAUAAUACUGACGCUCAUGCACGAAAGCGUGGGGAGCAAACAGG
rnacentral:rRNA from 1 species